rnacentral:tRNA from 1 species
GCAGGUAUGGUUUAAUGGUAGAACAUCUGCUUCCCAAGCAGAGGGUGCGGGUUCGAUUCCCGUUACUUGCUCCA